rnacentral:rRNA from 1 species
GAUGAACGCUGGCGGCGUGCCUAAUACAUGCAAGUCGAGCGAACGGACGAGAAGCUUGCUUCUCUGAUGUUAGCGGCGGACGGGUGAGUAACACGUGGAUAACCUACCUAUAAGACUGGGAUAACUUCGGGAAACCGGAGCUAAUACCGGAUGAUAUUUUGAACCGCAUGGUUCAAAAGUGAAAGACGGUCUUGCUGUCACUUAUAGAUGGAUCCGCGCUGCAUUAGCUAGUUGGUAAGGUAACGGCUUACCAAGGCAACGAUGCAUAGCCGACCUGAGAGGGUGAUCGGCCACACUGGAACUGAGACACGGUCCAGGCUCCUACGGGAGGCAGCAGUAGGGAAUCUUCCGCAAUGGGCGAGAGCCUGACGGAGCAACGCCGCGUGAGUGAUGAAGGUCUUCGGAUCGUAAAACUCUGUUAUUAGGGAAGAACAUAUGUGUAAGUAACUGUGCACAUCUUGACGGUACCUAAUCAGAAAGCCACGGCUAACUACGUG